rnacentral:rRNA from 1 species
GGCCAGACUCCUACGGGAGGCAGCAGUGGGGAAUAUUGCACAAUGGGGGGAACCCUGAUGCAGCGACGCCGCGUGGGUGAAGAAGCGCCUCGGCGCGUAAAGCCCUGUCAGCAGGGAAGAAAAUGACGGUACCUGAAGAAGAAGCCCCGGCUAACUACGUGCCAGCAGCCGCGGUAAUACGUAGGGGGCAAGCGUUAUCCGGAUUUACUGGGUGUAAAGGGGGCGCAGACGGCGAUGCAAGCCAGGAGUGAAAGCCCGGGGCCCAACCCCGGGACUGCUCUUGGAACUGCGUGGCUGGAGUGCAGGAGGGGCAGGCGGAAUUCCUGGUGUAGCGGUGAAAUGCGUAGAUAUCAGGAGGAACACCGGUGGCGAAGGCGGCCUGCUGGACUGCAACUGACGUUGAGGCCCGAAAGCGUGGGGAGCAAACAGGAUUAGAUACCCGAGUAAUC